AUGAACGCUAGCUACAGGCUUAACACAUGCAAGUCGAGGGGCAGCAUGGUCUUAGCUUGCUAAGGCCGAUGGCGACCGGCGCACGGGUGAGUAACACGUAUCCAACCUGCCGUCUACUCUUGGACAGCCUUCUGAAAGGAAGAUUAAUACAAGAUGGCAUCAUGAGUCCACAUGUUCACAUGAUUAAAGGUAUUCCGGUAGACGAUGGGGAUGCGUUCCAUUAGAUAGUAGGCGGGGUAACGGCCCACCUAGUCUUCGAUGGAUAGGGGUUCUGAGAGGAAGGUCCCCCACAUUGGAACUGAGACACGGUCCAAACUCCUACGGGAGGCAGCAGUGAGGAAUAUUGGUCAAUGGGCGAGAGCCUGAACCAGCCAAGUAGCGUGAAGGAUGACUGCCCUAUGGGUUGUAAACUUCUUUUAUAAAGGAAUAAAGUCGGGUAUGCAUACCCGUUUGCAUGUACUUUAUGAAUAAGGAUCGGCUAACUCCGUGCCAGCAGCCGCGGUAAUACGGAGGAUCCGAGCGUUAUCCGGAUUUAUUGGGUUUAAAGGGAGCGUAGAUGGAUGUUUAAGUCAGUUGUGAAAGUUUGCGGCUCAACCGUAAAAUUGCAGUUGAUACUGGAUAUCUUGAGUGCAGUUGAGGCAGGCGGAAUUCGUGGUGUAGCGGUGAAAUGCUUAGAUAUCACGAAGAACUCCGAUUGCGAAGGCAGCCUGCUAAGCUGCAACUGACAUUGAGGCUCGAAAGUGUGGGUAUCAAACAGGAUUAGAUACCCUGGUAGUCCACACGGUAAACGAUGAAUACUCGCUGUUUGCGAUAUACAGCAAGCGGCCAAGCGAAAGCGUUAAGUAUUCCACCUGGGGAGUACGCCGGCAACGGUGAAACUCAAAGGAAUUGACGGGGGCCCGCACAAGCGGAGGAACAUGUGGUUUAAUUCGAUGAUACGCGAGGAACCUUACCCGGGCUUAAAUUGCAGAUGAAUUACGGUGAAAGCCGUAAGCCGCAAGGCAUCUGUGAAGGUGCUGCAUGGUUGUCGUCAGCUCGUGCCGUGAGGUGUCGGCUUAAGUGCCAUAACGAGCGCAACCCUUGUUGUCAGUUACUAACAGGUUCUGCUGAGGACUCUGACAAGACUGCCAUCGUAAGAUGUGAGGAAGGUGGGGAUGACGUCAAAUCAGCACGGCCCUUACGUCCGGGGCUACACACGUGUUACAAUGGGGGGUACAGAGGGCCGCUACCACGCGAGUGGAUGCCAAUCCCAAAAACCUCUCUCAGUUCGGACUGGAGUCUGCAACCCGACUCCACGAAGCUGGAUUCGCUAGUAAUCGCGCAUCAGCCACGGCGCGGUGAAUACGUUCCCGGGCCUUGUACACACCGCCCGUCAAGCCAUGGGAGCCGGGGGUACCUGAAGUGCGUAACCGCGAGGAGCGCCCUAGGGUAAAACUGGUGACUGGGGCU
rnacentral:rRNA from 1 species